AUUGAACGCUGGCGGCAGGCCUAACACAUGCAAGUCGAGCGAGCGGCGGAAGGGUGAGUAAUGUAUGGGGACCGCCCGAUAGAGGGGGAUAACAACUGGAAACAGUAUCUAAUACCGCAUACUAUCGGAUAACCCAUAUGGGAGUAGCUAGUAGGUGAGGUAAUGGCGCACGUAGGCGACGAUCCCUAGCUGUUUUGAGAGGAUGAUCAGCCACACUGGGACUGAGACACGGCCCAGCCUCCUACGGAGGCAGCAGUGGGGAAUAUUCGACAAUGGGCGCAAUCCUGAUGAAGCCAAGCCGCGUGUAUGAAGAAGGCCUUAGGGUUGUAAAGUGCUUUCAGUCGGGAGGCGUUACCUACAGAAGAAGCACCGGCUAACUCCGUGCCAGCAGCCGCGGUAAUUC
rnacentral:rRNA from 1 species